AAGACUAUACUUUCAGGGAUCAGUUCUAUAGUUUGUUACUAGAGAAGUUUCUCUGAAAGAGUAGAGUACCCGAAAGCAAGUGGAAUGGGUUUUCCCACCAUCUUGCU
rnacentral:snoRNA from 1 species